rfam:Picea glauca, whole genome shotgun sequence.
ACAUGCCUACAAAAUAGCAUUAAUUCACAAUAUCCCAUUAGAACUCUGCAGUUGAGCGCACUUAGGCUAGAGUAGUACUGGGAUCGGUGACCACCUGGGAAGUCCUAAUGUUUUACAUGCC